GUGUUUCUUCACAGAAGUGGUUGACUGAAGGAGAUCCAGUGACUCUGAUCUGUGAGGUUAAAGGCUCCUCUACAGGCUGGACAUUCAGCUGGUACACUAAAACUGUUUCAUCAGACUACAGAAGUCAUCAUUAUAAGACACUCUCAGACAGCAGCAGAGGAUCUGGAGGAAACUACACUGUCAGUUCUGCUGCUCUAAAUCACACAGGAGUUUAUGUGUGCAGAGCAAAGAGAGGAAAACUAGCCUAUAGCACAUGGUACAGCAACACACAGUUAAUAUGGGUCACUGGUGGUUCUCCUCCAGUCUCUCUGAUCGUCAGUCCCAGCAGAACUCAACACUUCACAUCUGUCUCUCUCUCUCUGAGCUGUGAGGACCAGAGUAACUCUGAUAGAUGGAGAGUGAGAAGAUACUCAGACAUUUUGGGACUGUUCGAUUGUUCAUCACGCUGGGGAUCACAAACAGGAUCUACAU